GACGAACGCUGGCGGCGUGCUUAACACAUGCAAGUCGAACGGAAAGGCCCUGCUUGCAGGGUACUCGAGUGGCGAACGGGUGAGUAACACGUGGGUGAUCUGCCCUGCACUUCGGGAUAAGCCUGGGAAACUGGGUCUAAUACCGGAUAGGAGCCAUUUUUAGUGUGAUGGUUGGAAAGUUUUUUCGGUGUAGGAUGAGCUCGCGGCCUAUCAGCUUGUUGGUGGGGUAAUGGCCUACCAAGGCGGCGACGGGUAGCCGGCCUGAGAGGGUGGACGGCCACAGUGGGACUGAGGUACGGCCCAGACUCCUACGGGAGGAAGCAGGGGGGAAUAUUGCACAAUGGGCGCAAGCCGGAUGCAGCGACGCCGCGUGGGGGAUGACGGACUACGGGUUGUAAACUCCUAUCGCUAGGGACGAAGCUUUUUGUGACGGUACCUAGAUAAGAAGCACCGGCUAACUACGUG
rnacentral:rRNA from 1 species